UACGGGGGGGGCAAGCGUUGUUCGGAAUUACUGGGCGUAAAGGGUUCGUAGGUGGCCAACUAAGUCAGACGUGAAAUCCCUCAGCUUAACUGGGGAACUGCGUCUGAGACUGGAUGGCUUGAGUGCAGGAGAGGAACGCGGAAUUCCAGGUGUAGCGGUGAAAUGCGUAGAUAUCAGGAAGAACACCCGUGGCGAAGGCGGCUCUCUGGUACGUGACUGACGCUGAGACGCGAAAGCGUGGGGAGCAAACAGG
rnacentral:rRNA from 1 species